GAGACAGUGCAGUCACCCAUAAAGUAGAAAGCACUACUAAACAGCACUGCAGGGUGUAGUGUUUCCUACUUUAUGGAUGAGUGUACUGUGGG
ensembl:miRNA microRNA 142